rnacentral:rRNA from 1 species
AUACGUAGGGUGCAAGCGUUAAUCGGAAUUACUGGGCGUAAAGCGUGCGCAGGCGGUUUUGUAAGACAGAGGUGAAAUUCCCGGGCUCAACCUGGGAACUGGCUUUGUGACUGCAAGGCUAGAGUACGGCAGAGGGGGAUGGGAUUUCGCGUGUAGCAGAGAAAUGCGUAGAUAUGCGGAGGAACACCGAUGGCGAAGGCAAUCCCCUGGGCCUGUACUGACGCUCAUGCACGAAAGCGUGGGGAGCAAACAGGAUUAGAUACCCUGGUAGUCCACGCCCUAAACGAUGUCAACUGGUUGUUGGGUCUUCAUUGACUCAGUAACGAAGCUAACGCGUGAAGUUGACCGCCUGGGGAGUACGGCCGCAAGGUUGAAACUUAAAGGAAUUGACGGGG